UACAUCACACGCACUCAUAACCUUCUUUUCCUUUCCUUUUCUACUCUUCUUCUUCUUCCUUCUAUUCUUCAACCUUCUGUAUGUAUUCCACUUCCAGCUAGGUUUCAAAAAAACCCAAAAGAUCCAUUAUGUAUCUCACUUUUUCUCUGAGAUUAGCUUUCACACGGAUCGACCUUCGAAUUUGGGUUCAUCUUUGCAUAUUAAUCUUGUGAUGGAGUCUAUAAAGCCCUACUACAUCAUACUCUCUCUUCUACUGGAUCUGGUUUUGUUUUUCUGGUUGUUGUUUAGUGAAGGAAGUUUU